UACGUAGGGUCCGAGCGUUGUCCGGAAUUAUUGGGCGUAAAGGCUCGUAGGCGGUCUGUUGCGUCGGGAGUGAAAACUUACAGCUUAACUGUGAGCGUGCUUUCGAUACGGGCAGACUUGAGGCAUUCAGGGGAGAACGGAAUUCCUGGUGUAGCGGUGAAAUGCGCAGAUAUCAGGAGGAACACCGGUGGCGAAGGCGGUUCUCUGGGACGGUACUGACGCUGAGACGCGAAAGCGUGGGGAGCGAACAGG
rnacentral:rRNA from 1 species